CUCACACAUUCGGCGACUUUCAGCUUUUUGGAAGGCAGUAGAAAAUAGCUACUACUAGAAAAAAGAUCUGUUGUGUGUACCAAUUUUGUGUCGUCCACCUAGAGAAUGGUAGAUACGCUAUUUAUUUAUUUAUUUAUUUAUCAGUACUGCUCCAGACUACACCGCUGCAGCUGAUAAGUGAAUCAAUACUUUUCCAAGCGCCCGAUAAAAAAUAGUGUCGUACAUCGGUAGGGAGAUCGAAUUGUUUGUGCGGGAACCCUAUCGGUGCUGAUAAAGGUUUCAGUUACAUUAAGCCGAAGCUCAAUAUAUGUCAGAAAGCGAUUCAUUCCUUCCGGAGGCACUCAAGUGGAUAGCUGAUGUUCGUUCAGUGACAAUAUGAGUCAUGAAAAUUUAUCCUCGAUCAUCAACGAUGCUAAAAUUGAUUUCUCGAAGUUGAAACCCUUCCAGGAGCUUGAAGUCAUUGAUAGCAGUAGAAAAAUCGUCAGCAAAGCGUUCAUUGAUUCAGCCCAUUCUGUUGUUAUGAGCAUUGAAUCUUUUGGACGACUUUUUGCUCCCAUUGUGAAGGAUAUGCGAGGAAAUGUGAAGCGUUUAGAAGCCAAGUACGAAACGGAUAAGGAAAAAUUUCACUAUCUAGAAAAUUUGGUCCUAUACGAUAAAGAAGGGAACGAAACAUCUUUCGAUGCUGUAACUGAAGGGUUACUGUGGCUCAAGCGAGCCUUAGAAAUGGUUGAAAUGUUUUUCCGGAACAUGCUGAACGACGAUAGUUGCAGCGAAAACGUAAAGCACCACCUCAAGCAAGCAUACGAUGCGACUUUGUUGCCUUAUCAUGGAUUUUUGGCGCAGAAGGGAUUCCAGGUUCGGGAUUUCCGAGUGGAUUUUCUUUAUAUCUAGUGGUUCAUCGCUAAAGUUGGUUGUUUUAGGUUGGGAUGUUAUUGCUAAUAAAUAUUUAUUUUCAAAUACAGUUUUUUCCAGAAAGGUAUACGAUUUGGGUACACACAAAAAAAAUCUGAGUUCUACAUUUCAUGUUAAAUUUGAUUUCAUGUAAAACUCGGUCAGAUGUGUUGUAUAUUAUAACGCAGCCCUGAAAAAAAAACAUGCGUUUCCUCAUUCGGGUCAAUUUGUUGUAAUUUUACAUGACUUUGGCCCUUAUUCUGCGCCGCGCAUGAGGUGACGAUUGUCACGUCACCUCGAGUCACCGUGAGAUUUGUCACCUUAUUCCCGGAGUCGAUGCGGGUAAAGUGACAGAGGUUCAUUUCCUAGAAUAACGGAGGAAAAUUCCAGCUCUAAAAAGGUCUCCGCUGUUUUCCACGGCAUAAGCAAACAGUUUAAGCGUAAAAUAAGUUAUUUUCCUACACCGUAGCCACCACAAGGUUGCUGUGGAAAAGCAGUAGUAAGCAACCGAGGAAGGAAAGUUUUCAACAGGCGUCUGGCUGAAUGUUUACUUCUGUUGAUUCCUGCGGAACGAGUUGAGUAUAUAUCCACAUGACAAAUCCACACAGUGACAUCAACUGUGGAUUGUGCAUUCUGGGAGAGCCAUUCCUUGAAAAGCCUGUGUUCCAGGAAAAUAUAGAGCAGUUUGGCCUAAAGCAUCAAGCUAACAUUUUAAAUAACGGAAAAACCAAACCGUCGAAAGAUUGCGUUUUUACGGCUCCUUUGGAUAAGAUGCUGGAACCGGAUUCUGAUGAAAGAACAACAGGGCAAGGGACCCGAACCACGAACGUAUACCGAUCAAUUUCCAGCAGUCCACCUGGCAGGAUGUUCACAUACCGAAAAAGAUGCGAAUGCUUCUGGCAAAAUUGGCCCUUAUUCUGCGCCGCGAGUGACGUGAGGAUAGUCGAGUCACCCAAGUCACUCUAUUCCGGUAGUCGGUUUAGGUGAGGAACGUCACUUCGGAUGAACUUUGUGAGUUCUUACCCUAUUCUCGUAGUCACCGUGGGUGAGAAUCGUCGCAUUCGGGUGACGAUUUUAGGUGACAAUUGUCGGUACCUUUUCAGGUGGCGACGAGAUAGAAAUGAAAUGAAAAAACACGAAAAUUACUGUAAAGCGGGUUAUUAAUUGUUGAAAUUCAAUCAUAUUUUUCAACUAGCAUGUUUUAAUGCUUAAAAUCAUCAAUAAACUAGUAAACACGACAAGAAUUUAAUGAGCAAAAAAGUAUCGUCACCAUCUAUCGUUCAGUUAAGCGAUUGUCGAACUUCAAGUAGAAGUAAAUUAAAAAAAAGUUUCUUAUACAAUUUUUAAAGUUGUUCUUCUUUAAUUUUCAAAUGUAUUAGAAUAUUAAUGCCAAUAAUCAAUAAAUUAGUAAACACGACGAGAAUUUGAUGAGCAAAAAAGUAUCAGGUCACCAUCUAUCGUCCAGUUAAGCGAUUGUUGAACUUCAAGUAGUAAAUUAAUAAAAAAAAUAGUUUCUGAUACAAUUUUUAAAGUUGUUCUUCUUUAAUUUUCAAAUGUAGAAGAAUAGUAAAAACUUGACAAAUAUGUAGUUAUAGCUUUUAUUCUGAUUUUUUUUUUUAAAUUACAAUGUAGAAUGUUAUUUAUCCUUUGGCAGCAAAUUAUUGAAUUAUUAGUAGCAUGUGGGAAAGUGCACAUUUGUUCGUGAAGUGCUCAUUCUUCUACCAUCUCUGUAAAGUACAUCGUCUUAAAAAAAAAAUAUCAUAGACUAUCAGCUUAAAAAAAAACUUUUAAAUAAUCUUUGAGACUUCGCGGAGAUAUUUUGAAAUUCGGAAAUGCCAAAGAAUCAGUUACGGCAGAACUUUUAUGCAUAUUAGGAACUGCAUCGGGUAUAGACUCGGGCAGUAGAGGCUUCGGCCAAAUUUUUGUCAGUCACCGAUGGAGGUUCGGUAAGAAUUUCCUGUUCCUCUUCCGGAUGCUUGUCGAUAAACUUCAACUGGUUCGCAAUUUUGACCUUGCCCGGCUGGUUUUCGUUCUUGUGUCGUGGCCUGUUCUGAUUAGGGAAAUUUCGAUUGGUUGGUCGGUCGUUUGGGGGUGGAAAGGAAGUAAGCCGCACUCUUCGGAGAUACCUUCCAAAAUGUUCUUCCUGAUUCGGCCUUCAUGUUAACCUCUAAAAAAAUAACAAUAAAAACCAUUAGUAGAGAAUUGGUACGCGACAAUCAACUAUCUUACCAAAAACAAUUGUCCGCACCCAACGACCAAACGGUUUGAACAGUUUAAUUGAAGUGUCAUUUGUAUUUUUCCAUAACCAGUUGAUGUGCUCGACAAACCGUAUGGAUGUCAUCGGCUGCAUUGAAUUGCGAAACCACAUCCGAGCCAACACCUAAUAACAAUUUGAUCGAAACCUUACAGUUAUUUCAAACUGAAAUUUUCAGGUCGUAAAAUUGAACACCAUAAUCGCCACAAACCUGCAAUGUUUUCUUUUAAUUUAUUUUAAUUUUUUGAAACUAAUCUGAAAUUUUUGUAUCACUUACAAUUUUUGACGUCGAUUCUUGUGUUGGUGUUUCACAGCAGGUUCCCGGCUCAGAUUUAAUCCUCGGAUUGUCCGCUUGGGUCGCGUAACCUGCCCAUUUUCCUUAUUGAAUGAUUUGCUGACACCAUACAAACCGAUUACGACGUUUUUCGAACCGGAAAUCGAAUCCGUUGUUAAGAAAUUUAAUCCCGAAAAUCCGAACCGCGAGCGAAAUCAAAACAACAUCAGCGCAAUGACGACCAUUUUGACAGAUGUGUUCAUUCAGUCACUCACCUGAAUGAGAUACUGUCACUUUACCCACAUCGACUCCGGGAAUAAGGUGACAAAAGUCACGGUGACUCCGAGGUGAGGUGACAAUCAUCACGUCACGCGCGGCGCAGAAUAAGGCUGAUUGUCCUGAUUAUAUCACCCCUCAAAAGAUCUAAUGUUAAGAUUAUAAAUUUCAAUUCCGAAUCAGAUAUCACAUUACACUUUCUGACUGAGGUUUUAGAUUUCAGUUUUUAGAAUACGGUUUCAGGUUAGAACGCAAAUCUCAGAACCAUUUUUUAGAUAAGAUUUCUUCUUUAGUUUUCUUGUUGAAUUUUUAAUGCCAUAUUUGAGGUUUAAGAUAAUCAUUCAGUUUUUAUUUGGUCUAAAGCUUGGGCGCAGUCUUUUCUGACAAAUGACCCUCACUCAUGUGUUUUCUCUCGUUUGUUGGCUAGAAAUAUUUUUUAAGAUAGGGGCAUUAUUAAACGAAUCUAUAUAAUUUUAAUCACAAAUAAAAAUGCUAUAAUGAAAUAUGCCGUCUCUUUUUAUAAGUCAUAUGUGAUAUGUUGAGUAUUUAUGAGUCGCCCUAAAAAUAAGUUAUAUUUUCGUUGUUGAAUUUUGGAGAAGAUAAAAAUUUAAGUUGAAUGAAAGUGCGCGGCCAUUGGUGGUGCUUUCACGGUACAAGCUGAUUUAAUUAUAGAAAGAUUCCGAAAUUUUGAAAAAUGAAAGCGAGAACUAUCCAGCAAUCGCGAGCUUUUUAAUUUUGAGUUUUAAUCCCAGAAAAACUGCAUGAGCAAUCUGAUUGUGUUCAAAAUUAUCAAACUUCAUUGUAAAUAAAUACUUAGAACCAAAAUAUUCCAUUUUGUAUCAAUUUUCCGUUCAAUUUCUCUCUCGUCGCCACCUGAAAAGGUACCGACAAUUGUCACCUAAAAUCGUCACCCGAAUGCGACGUUUCUUACCCACGGUGACUACCAGAAUGGGGUAAAAACUCAAAAAGUUCAUCCGAAGUGAUGUUCCUCACCUAAACCGACUACUAGAAUAGAGUGAUUUGGGUGAGUCGACUAUCGUCACGUCACUCGCGGCGCAGAAUAAGGCCGAUGAUAUAGUGAAUGCGAUGCGAUGCGAAUUGGCGGAAAAUUUACGGACGCAGCCUAUGCGAACUCGAGCGGCGGAACAAAUUGACAUCUCCUUCGCCGCGUUGAGUAUGUCAGGUUUAAGCGAUUCACAUACAUUUUCAUCAAAUGUGGUUCACCGCAUUGAAUCGCAUUCACCGCAUCGCAUCGCAUCGUAUUCACUAUGUCAUCGGCCUAAGGGCCUUUUGCUUGAAGCGAUGUUCAGAAUCAGAAACGUUGCUGUCGCGCACAGGGUGUGUCUUAUUGUUUGCCAAUUUUAUUAAAUAUAAAAAAGUGAAAUCCUUUGAACAAAUUUCACCAAAAACAAAUUAUGUUUUAUUGCUUAUUGUAAAAAAAACACUUUAAAAAUAGUAUAUUACUCGAUAGAAUUUCAUAGACUUUAUUGAAGAAAUGAUGUUUUGUUCUAAGCAACUGUUCACCUCUUGUCUUUGAUUCUUAAUUAUAUAUAUAUAUUUUUUUUAAAUAUAGGAAUAACUUUAAUCGAUAACAUUGAUAUGAAAUCUAACAAUUUAAAAUGAAUAGCACAAAAAGUAGUCAAACUUUUGGUUUAAAUAAAUAUUGCACAAAAAAGUCAACAAUAUUCUCAAUUUGUUGUUACAAAAGAUUCAGCACAAUAAAGCUUUUUUUCUCUUUAUUCUUCGAUUUAAGUAUAAACUUGUGAAUUAAAAAAAAUGAGGUUCUUGGAUUUAUAUACAAGUGAAUCGAUCUGAAUUGUUUAAUAUUUAUUCAAACAAAUUAAAGCUUCAUUUCCCCUUCCUCACAUUCCAUCAUUUUGCAAAGGACAUUUCAAUGUACAACGAGCAAAUAACAAGUAUUAUUAAUCAAAAAACAUUCUAGAUAAACUUAGUGUUACCUAUUUUGAAUAGUAAUUAAAAUUUUUUUUCAAAAUCAUUCAUCCAAAAACUAUUAACGAAACUAAAAUAAAAUUCAGAUACACCCUGUAGCAGGAUCGUUUUACAAACAAACACCGAACGGCCGACCGGUAAGCAGCAAGUUCGAUUUGAUGCGCGAAGAAAAUGCUGUUUCUAAUCUGUAGCUCGUGGAUUUCAAGUAAUCAUAAACAUUAUGACCAUCUUUCAAGCCAUUGUCAUGCUUUGUUAUUAAACUGACGGCAAGAAUCGGAUAAAAUGAUGAUUCAAAAACUUA